UACGUAGGUGGCAAGCGUUGUCCGGAAUUACUGGGUGUAAAGGGAGCGCAGGCGGGAAGCCAAGUCAGCUGUGAAAACUACGGGCUUAACUUGUAGACUGCAGUUGAAACUGGUUUUCUUGAGUGAAGUAGAGGUUGGCGGAAUUCCGAGUGUAGCGGUGAAAUGCCUAGAUAUUCGGAGGAACACCGGUGGCGAAGGCGGCCAACUGGGCUUUAACUGACGCUGAGGCUCGAAAGUGUGGGGAGCAAACAGG
rnacentral:rRNA from 1 species